rnacentral:lncRNA from 1 species
AUGACCCCGAAAGCAGGUGAUCACUCAUGGGAAAAGCAGGUAGAAUUAAUCAUUCUGCUGUUCUCCAUUUCCUCCCCUUUUUGGCUGACCUGGACACAGUGUGAAAUCUGUCCUGGGGAGGGGGAAGGCNNAGGGGGCGGGGGGGGGGGGAUUAACUCCUUCCUGCCGAUGAAAAUACAGCGGAGAGAGGUGAGAACCGACCCGGGGGCUGCCUCCCCAGGCUGCCUUUGCUGUGAAAAGCUUGCUGCGAGGUCAAGCCUGCCCCGAGGAGAGCCGAGCGACCUGCGCCUGGCUCCGCUCCAGGGCGUCCCCGCUCCCACCUGCCCGCCGGCCUCCCCUCCUUCCUCUUCCAGGGGCUUCCCUCAGCAUCCUCCAUCCCUCCCUCCUUCCCUCCCCGCCGGCCACCGCCCGCCUGUUUGCAGCCUCAUCCCUCUCCCUGCCAAGGGAAGCGGAGGCUCGGGGCGCGGGCAGGGCUCUGCGGCCGGCGGCGCAGCUUGCGCGGUGCUUGCGCGCCCUUUGCGCGGCCCCGCUCGGCAGCCGUCGGGCCUAGAAGCAGGACCGAGCUGGGGAGGGGGGCGUAGGGAGAGCGGGACCCCCCCGGCCACCCCUCUGGAAGCCAGCCCUGCCGCUGCCCGGGCGCAGGAAGCGCCUCUGCGCUCUUUGCUUUGAAAAUAGCCACCGGCUCGCCAGUCCCCGCUCUGAGUUGCGCCGCGCCGGGCCGGAGCCCCGGGCAAUUUUUUUUUUAUCUUUCCUCUCCACCGAGCCCGUGGCUUGGGAAAAGCAGGAGUUCAACCGUCCUGGGGGCGCAGAGCCCGGCGGCUGCUCACCCCAAAACCUCCCCCAUUUCCCCACGUUCUGCCCGCGGGGCUUUUUUUUGGGGGGGGACGGGGAGGCUGCGCUGCUUCUUGGCGGAUCGGGCCCCUGGGAAGGGCGAUGGGGGACCUUGGGGCGGGGACCCGGGCGCACGUCCCGUCCCACCAGGAUCCCUCGGGGCACAAAUCCAACACAAAGCGCAGGAUUUGCGCCUUUCACCCUGCUCCCCUCCGCUGCUGGACGCUCGCUCGCUGAAAAUCGGGACGCAGCGGGGCCCUUCCCGCCCCAUAGCGCGUCCUGCCGUGGGGACAGGGGUCCUGCCCUGUCCUGCCCGGGUCGCACCCCCACAGGACCCAGGCUCGGGGGGGCGCACGAAACCCGGCGGGGUCUGGGCUGGGUGCCCCGACGGGGCGGCCGGUGCCGGGCCUCGGCAAGGAGCAGGGAUGGCCCCGAGGGUUUUGUCCCCCCGCCGGGACCGCGGGUGGGGCCGCAGGAGGGCUCGGGGGACCCCCCCCCGCCCCGUCGGGGGGACCGGGGGGAGCUGCGAAGCGUCCCCGGGAUGCGCCGGGGAGGACGGCGGAGCUGGGAAGACCCUCCUGCAGAGGGUGACAUUUCUCCACGGCCCAGGACCUCUAGAACAAACACGGCAGCGACUUAAAUAAACACGCGUUUAAUGAUGCA